UGGGGAAUAUUGCACAAUGGGCGCAAGCCUGAUGCAGCAACGCCGCGUGAGGGAUGACGGCCUUCGGGUUGUAAACCUCUUUUAGUAGGGGAAGAAGCGAAAGUGACGGUACCUGCAGAAAAAGCACCGGCUAACUACGUGCCAGCAGCCGCGGUAAUACGUAGGGUGCGAGCGUUGUCCGGAAUUAUUGGGCGUAAAGAGCUCGUAGGCGGUCUGUCGCGUCUGCUGUGAAAACCCGAGGCUCAACCUCGGGCCUGCAGUGGGUACGGGCAGACUAGAGGUGCGUAGGGGAGAAUGGAAUUCCUGGUGUAGCAGGUGGAAUGCGCAGAUAUCGAGGAGGAACACCGAUGGCGAAGGCAGCUUCGUCUGGGCCGUAACUGACGCUGAGGAGC
rnacentral:rRNA from 1 species